rnacentral:rRNA from 1 species
UACGAAGGGGGCUAGCGUUGCUCGGAAUCACUGGGCGUAAAGCGCACGUAGGCGGAUUGCUAAGUCAGGGGUGAAAUCCUGGAGCUCAACUCCAGAACUGCCUUUGAUACUGGCGAUCUCGAGUCCGGGAGAGGUGAGUGGAACUGCGAGUGUAGAGGUGAAAUUCGUAGAUAUUCGCAAGAACACCAGUGGCGAAGGCGGCUCACUUGCCCGGUACUGACGCUGAGGUGCGAAAGCGUGGGGAGCAAACAGG